rnacentral:ncRNA from 2 species
AAGCACGAAGGGGAGCCUGGGCUCCCCUUCAAGGUAUGUUGCUAUGCUCGUUUUUGUUUGUCGGGAGGCCUGUUGUUGUUUUUGGCGACCUGGCCCUUCACAUCUUUUUUGAGCGAUCCACAAACGGGACCAAGAGCAAACGUAUUUUUUUGAGCGCUGAUGCCACUUUCAUCGCAUUGAUCCAACCAAUACGGGAGCUGCCUCGGGGCAGUU